CCUACGGGUGGCAGCAGUGGGGAAUAUUGCACAAUGGGGGAAACCCUGAUGCAGCGACGCCGCGUGAGUGAAGAAGUAAUUCGUUAUGUAAAGCUCUAUCAGCAGGGAAGAAAAUGACGGUACCUGAGUAAGAAGCCCCGGCUAACUACGGGCCAGCAGCCGCGGGAAUACGUAGGGGGCAAGCGUUAGCCGGAUUUACUGGGUGUAAAGGGAGCGUAGACGGCAGUGCAAGUCUGGAGUGAAAGGCGGGGGCUCAACCCCCGGAUUGAUCGGGAAACUGUACGGUUGGAGUGGAGGAGAGGUAAGUGGAAUUGCGAGUGGAGGAGUGAAAGUCGUAGAUAUUGGGAGGAAAAGCAGUGGCGAAGGAGGUUAACGG
rnacentral:rRNA from 1 species